AGAGUUUGAUCAUGGCUCAGAUUGAACGCUGGCGGUAUGCUUAACACAUGCAAGUCGAACGCGAACGAGUUCUUCGGAACUUUAUUAGAGUGGCGGACGGGUGAGUAACGCGUAGGAAUCUGCCUAGUAGUGGGGGACAACCUGGUGAAAACCAGGCUAAUACCGCAUACGCCCUACGGGGGAAAGGAUGGGAUCUUCGGACCAUUCGCUAUUAGAUGGGCCUGCGUCGGAUUAGCUAGUUGGUGAGGUAAUGGCUCACCAAGGCGACGAUCCGUAGCUGGUUUGAGAGAACGACCAGCCACACUGGGACUGAGACACGGCCCAGACUCCUACGGGAGGCAGCAGUGGGGAAUAUUGGACAAUGGGGGAAACCCUGAUCCAGCAAUACCGCGUGUGUGAAGAAGGCCCGAGGGUUGUAAAGCACUUUCAAUUGUGAAGAAAAGCAUAAGGUUAAUAGCCUUGUGUCUUGACGUUAACUUUAGAAGAAGCACCGGCUAACUCCGUGCCAGCAGCCGCGGUAAUACGGAGGGU
rnacentral:rRNA from 1 species